rnacentral:rRNA from 1 species
GAUGAACGCUGGCGGCGUGCCUAAUACAUGCCAGUCGAGCGAACAGACGAGAGUGCUUGCACUCUCUGACGUUAGCAGCGGACGGGUGAGUAACACGUGGGUAACCUACCUAUAAGACUGGGAUAACUUCGGGAAACCGGAGCUAAUACCGGAUAAUAUUUAGCUUCGCAUGAAGCAAUAGUGAAAGACGGUUCUGCUGUCACUUAUAGAUGGACCCGCGGUGUAUUAGCUAGUUGGUGAGGUAACGGCUCACCAAGGCAACGAUACAUAGCCGACCUGAGAGGGUGAUCGGCCACACUGGGACUGAGACACGGCCCAGACUCCUACGGGAGGCAGCAGUAGGGAAUCUUCCGCAAUGGACGAAAGUCUGACGGAGCAAUGCCGCGUGAGUGAAGAAGGUUUUCGGAUCGUAAAACUCUGUUGUAAGGGAAGAACAAGUACGUUAGUAACUGAACGUACCUUGACGGUACCUUACCAGAAAGCCACGGCUAACUACGUG